UACAGGGGGGGCAAGCGUUGUUCGGAAUUACUGGGCGUAAAGGGCUCGUAGGCGGCCAACUAAGUCACACGUGAAAUCCCCAGGCUUAACCUGGGAACUGCGUGUGAUACUGGAUGGCUUGAAUCCGGGAGAGGGAUGCAGAAUUCCAGGUGUAGCGGUGAAAUGCGUAGAUAUCUGGAGGAAUACCGGUGGCGAAGGCGGCAUCCUGGACCGACAUUGACGCUGAACGGCGAAAGCUAGGGGAGCAAACGGG
rnacentral:rRNA from 1 species